rnacentral:rRNA from 1 species
GAACGCUGGCGGCGUGCUUAACACAUGCAAGUCGAACGCGAAAGGGGCUUCGGCCCUGAGUAAAGUGGCGCACGGGUGAGUAACGCGUGGAUAAUCUGCCCUUAUGAUCGGGAUAACAGUUGGAAACGGCUGCUAAUACCGGAUACGCUCAAAAUGAACUUUUUGAGGAAAGAUGGCCUCUGCUUGCAUGCUAUCGCAUAGGGAUGAGUCCGCGUCCCAUUAGCUUGUUGGCGGGGUAACGGCCCACCAAGGCAACGAUGGGUAGCCGAUUUGAGAGGAUGAUCGGCCACACUGGAACUGAAACACGGUCCAGACUCCUACGGGAGGCAGCAGUGGGGAAUAUUGCGCAAUGGGCGAAAGCCUGACGCAGCGACGCCGCGUGAGGGAUGAAGGUUUUCGGAUCGUAAACCUCUGUCAGAAGGGAAGAAACUACGUUGUGCUAAUCAGCAGCGUACUGACGGUACCUUCAAAGGAAGCACCGGCUAACUCCGUGCCAGCAGCGGC